GGAGAGAUGCCGGAGCGGUUGAACGGGACGGUCUCGAAAACCGUUGUAGGUCUCGUACCUACCGUGGGUUCGAAUCCCACUCUCUCCGCUA
rnacentral:tRNA from 1 species